rnacentral:rRNA from 1 species
AGAGUUUGAUCAUGGCUCACAAUGAACGCUCGGCGGCAGGCCUAACACAUGCAAGUCGAACGGGUCCUUCGGGACUAGUGGCGGACGGGUGAGUAACGCGUGGGAACGUGCCCCUUGGUACGGAAUAGCCCCGGGAAACUGGGAGUAAUACCGUAUGUGGUCGAGAGACGAAAGAUUUAUCGCCGAGGGAUCGGCCCGCGUUGGAUUAGGUAGUUGGUGGGGUAAUGGCCUACCAAGCCGACUAUCCAUAGCUGGUUUGAGAGGAUGAUCAGCCGCACUGGGACUGAGACACGGCCCAUACUCCUACUGGAGGCAACAGUGGGGAAUCUUAUACAAUGGGGGAAACCCUGAUCUACCCAUGCCGCGUGAUCGAUGAAGGCCUUACGGUUGUAAAGAUCUUUCAUGUGGGAAGAUAAUGACUGUACCACCAGAAGAAGCCCCGGCUAACUCCGUGCCACCAGCCGCGGUAAUACGGAGGGGGCUAGCGUUAUUCGGAAUUACUGGGCGUAAAGCGCACGUACGCGGACUGAAAAGUCGGAGGUGAAAUCCCAGGGCUCAACCUUGGAACUGCCUUUGAAACUCUCAGUCUUGAGGUCGAGAGAGGUGAGUGGAAUUCCGAGUGUAGAGGUGAAAUUCGUAGAUAUUCGGAGGAACACCAGUGGCGAAGGCGGCUCACUGGCUCGAUACUGACGUUGAGGUGCGAAAGCGUGGGGAGCAAACAGGAUU